ensembl:lincRNA Gm12116 predicted gene 12116
UCUGCGGAAGCCUAUCGGGCCGUUCGCCCUCCUUCGGAGCAACGAAAGCGUAGCAUUGUGGGGUGCAAGCUCGGCGCUGUCCACCCGUGGAACAAGGGGAGCACCGGAGCGUUCUCCACGCCACCUAGGACACCGACCCGCGUGGGGAGAAUUUGUCCUCGCCCGGGCUUCCAACGAGGCGUCGCGGGCACUUUGGAGAUGCUUCCUGGUCCCAGCCAGGAGGACUGAGCGGUGACUUGCAGACAGGAGUCUCACAUAGGUGUCUUCUGUGAGGCUCCACCCAGCAGCAGCUGACUGAAACAGACGCAGAGGCCUGCAGCCAAACAUUGGAUAGAACUUGUGGGAGUCUUAUGGAAGGAUUGAGGGGUUAGGAACUUGACAGGAAGACCAACAAGCUCGGAUUUAAAUCACAGUAACACCACGGGAAGAUGAACGGCAGUGCUAUUGAAUGUGGCUAAAAUUGGAUCCUUCAGCACAGGAUGAGCCCCAGGAGAGGCCUGGAUACUGACCACUGGUUCCGACAAUCCUCAAAGACAAUGGUGUUCAUGAGGACAGACAUCAUCUAGAAGACAGAGGCACAUGAAAACUGGGACCCUUGGCUUAGAGCUCGCCUGAAUCCCAGACUUUCUGUGUACUCCUUCCAUCCUGCCACCUUUCUGAUGGCAGGGGGCUUUCCCUGGACACUUGGCUCUCACUCUGGAAGCCUAGAAGGCAAUGUGAACUCUGGGCAGACCCUGCCUCCUCAAGGACAAGUCUCUACCACCAAAAAGCUUGGUGAGAGCCUUCUUGGUGAGCCAGGAGGUUCAUUCCCUGCUUCAUACACCUUAUAUGCUUUGCUCUGUGCUAGGUACCAGGUAAAGGCCCAACUCACUUUCCUGUCUGCUUCUUACCUCACCAAACAGUUUAUGAUGUUAAUGGACGUCUCUCUGUAGCUCAGCACUGAGUGACUCCAGAGUGGUGUUUCCUGCUAGCUCAGACGGUUGUUUACCAAAUUAUCCAUUACUAAUUGCUCACUCACUGCUAUGUUACAAGUACUCACUUAUCCACACUCUUAACUCCCGAGGUUAAGGCACACAGAAGAGAUAAUAGGACUCUUUUUUUGUUUUUGUUUUGCUUUUUUGUUUUUUGAGACAGGGUUUCUCUGUGUAGCCCUGGCUGUCCUGGAACUCAUUUUGUAGACGAGGCUGGCCUCGAACUCAGAAAUCCGCCUUCCUCUGCCUCCCAAGUGCUGGGAUUAAAGGUGUGCGCCACCAUGCCUGGCUAAUAGGACUCUUUGAGCUUCCCUCGAAGCUUGCUAGGGAAGUCGCAGGAAGAAAAUAAUGGGGAAUAGGUGUAGGAAAAGAAGAGCAGCAUGUGGAGGGGAAAACCUCUGAGUUCUUCAUAAGUAGACAGGAGGCAAAGACGGUGGGAAUGAAGAGUAAGGAACUUAGGGUGGCAGGAGACAGAAGGGAAACCCCAUGGCCAGAAUAGAAGACCACUGAGUCUAGACUUUACCCUCAAUGCAAGGUGGCUAGUGAUGGGCUUGUGGGCAUGGUGAAGGAUGGGGAAUGUGCCCUAGGCAUGAGGCAUGACAGGAGGGAGUCCAGGCAAAUGGCUGUGAAGUGGGCUGAUUUCUCCUGCUGCAGCCUAUCUGCUCCCAUAGCUCUAGAGAAAACGCAAAUGCAGGGCAAACCAAAGGGUGGUGGUAGAGUCAGACCCCACAGAUGCCACCCCUGCUGGGCUUCGAUGACCUGCUUUACUUUGAAUGCUUUUAGCAUCCUCCCUUUUUUGCACAAGUAUGAAUGUGUACCGUGCAUGUGUUUGUUGUAUGUAAGGGUGAGGUUGGGUGUCUCCCUCAAAUGUUCUCAAAUGUACUUACUGAGGUACUAAGUUAGUUAUUGCUGAACCCACAGCGUGAGGAUAAUGUCCGUCCAUCCAUCCGUCCGUCUGUCCGUCCAGCCAGCCAGCCAGCCAGCCAGCUUGCCGGCCUCUGGAGCACUGGACUCACAGGCGGACACAGCACUCGCACAGCACUCGUGCACUGGGUAGGCGCUGCUAGGGAUCUGCUCCUCCAUUUGCACAAGUGCUUGCUUACCUCCAGAGCCAUCUCCCUGCCCCUGGCAAAAAGUUUUGGUAAUCUAAUUUAUUCUGUGAUCUUUGGCAAGUAACUGAACGGCGCUUGCGAUGUCUCUUUUUAUUAACUCUGAAGAGGGAAGGAAAUAAUCCAGCUCAAGGAAGCUGAGCAUGAAAUGAGACGGCACUGGGAAAGCGCUGCUGAGUCUGCAUCCUGCAGACUCUGAGGGCGUAGCGACACCAGCAGUGUGCAUCUCUGUAGUUCCACAGCUGCCAUUCUGUCACCACCUCAGUGAUGAGGCUGGUUACAGAUGGAAUCUGCCAGCCUAUACACAACACAGACUGCAUGUCCAGUCUCUCUGGAGAGGCUGAAACUCCAUGCCUGACAUGCUCAACAUUCAUGUAGAUCACAUGUUCCCAUGAACAGUACAGUGAGCCAGCCAAAGUCAUAGAGCACAAAUUAAAUUGACAAGCAAAACUAACAGAUCCACAGAGACAGUCUAAAAUAUUAUGGGUUUCACAAGCUGAAGCAGAAUGGAUAUUUUAAUGGAGAAGAUUAAAGUCAGAGGCACCAAAUUCUUCCAGUAACUGACAAAGCAUCCUGGAGUGAUGUGCCAAUUACUUUAUACGGUCCUCUCGUGUAUUCAUUUGUCUGAAUGCAUGUAUUUAUGUCUGUAAUAAGAAAGGGGAUGUUUGAAUAAAAUACUUUUCUAAAAAU